rnacentral:lncRNA from 1 species
CCCCCCCUAAGUUCAAGAAAAUGGGAAUAACAAUAAGGUAUGGAGACAUGUGCUGCACACUCCCCCUAUCCCCUCUUGAGCUUGCUGCACCUUUUCUUUUCCCACGCCUAUGCAGCAGGCUGCCAUGCCCAAGUACACCUAAAUAUGUCAAUCAGCCACCCUAGAAUGUACCUCCUCCCAUGUAUACAAGCUCCCAGCCAAACCACCUCGUCAUUCAAAACAGCCAACAUUGUUGCAUUCUCUUCAUUCUUCAUUUGAGGACUGCACAAGGAGAAGUGAGCCUUUAAUUCAUCCUACCAAGUAUUCUCAAGGUAAGCUUGUCUUCAAUGCUCCACCUUCUUCCCUUAUUCCACCUGCAUUAAUGCAAGAACAACUUUAUUAUUUCAGUUCGAUCUGCUGCUUCAUUUAAUCCAACCACAACAGCCAACAAACACCAAAGCAAGCAUCAUUCAAGGUAUUUAUACUACCUCAGUUAUCCAAUCGAGUUCGCAUUCAUACCAACGAGCAUAAUCAUGUUUUACCACUACAUCAAACAGUCCAUGUUAUGUAUAGCAAUAGAAAGACUUAUGUGUAUACUGCCACUGCACUCUAGAACACAAACCAUGAGGACCUCACACAUAGCACAUGAAUGAACGAACAAGG